rnacentral:rRNA from 1 species
CUACGGGGGGCACCAGUGGGGAAUAUUGCACAAUGGAGGAAACUCUGAUGCAGCAACGCCGCGUGGAGGGUGACACUUUUCGGAGCGUAAACUCCUUUUAUAUAGGAAGAAGAUGACGGUACUAUAUGAAUAAGCGCCGGCUAACUCCGUGCCAGCAGCCGCGGUAAUACGGAGGGCGCAAGCGUUACUCGGAAUCACUGGGCGUAAAGAGCGUGUAGGCGGAUUAAAAAGUCAGAAGUGAAAUCCUAUAGCUUAACUAUAGAACUGCUUCUGAAACUCUUAAUCUAGAAUAUGGGAGAGGUAGAUGGAAUUUCUGGUGUAGGGGUAAAAUCCGUAGAGAUCAGAAGGAAUACCGAUUGCGAAGGCGAUCUACUAGAACAUUAUUGACGCUGAGACGCGAAAGCGUGGGGAGCAAACAGGAUUAGAUACCCUGGUAGUC